AAAAAGGGCUUCUAUCAUGUUUGAUACAGGGGAGGUGAGGGUGUCUCAUUUCCUCUGCGGAAUCGCCAUCAAGAGAUUUCGGAAGCAUAAUUUUUGAAGCACGAGGCUGCUAGUGAUCAGUAUUCCUGGCGCCUCA